CCCCUCAUUUUUAAUUCCUCCAAAUUGGAGAGAUUUGGAGGGAGAGUAGAGCACAUAAAUUAUUAAAUAUGUAAAUUACCUAAUUUACCCUUAUUAUAUUAAAAAAAUUACAAGGCAUUUUAACUUUAAAAAAAAAACACUGUAACCACAAUCUCUCUCAGCUCUCUCAGCCAAAAAUUUCUCUCAAGCUCUCUCAGUUCUCUCAGCUCUGUAACCCACGAUUUUCUCUCAAGCUCUCUCAACUUACGCUGGCUCUCUCUUUCUCUCACGACUUCUUCACUCUUGGACUAUCUUUCACUCUUCUCCCACACGCCUAGCAUUCUCUCACAAAGCUUCCUCAGGAAGCAACAAACCUAUCACAUGAGUUAAACAAAAAAGGUCAUGUUGAUGAAACAGUAAUCUGUGGAGAAAGUGUUGCCACUGAGACUCUGCAGGUUGAUCAGGUUCUGGGGUGUCGAGUUCAAGGCAAUUACACGGGCCUUUCACGUCACUUAUCUGUGAAUGUAGCUGAUGACCUAUGUUCUAAGGACUUACUAAUUUCAGAAAAUCAAAACAGACUCUCAGAAGAAAAUUCUGCUUGCGAUACUGAUUUAGAUGUAGGAGCUGCUGAAAAUCAUAUUGAGGGUUGUCAGAAUAUUGAUAAGAGUUUUGACAGGGAAGAAAGCAUGAAGAAUGAAAUGAGAGUGGAUAAAAUAUGUGCUGAUUUUUUGGCUAGAUUAGGAUUACUGCUUGACAGUGAGUUUGUUGUGUUUUCUAGUCCACCUGUGGAUUUAACUAGCUUGUUGGAGGCUGAUGCCGUUGGGCUGUCUGUAAGUAGGCUCUGUCUUGCCCCUGUGUUUGCUGUUUAGUUUGUUAAUGAAUUUCCCUUUCAACCAAAAAAAAAAAAAAGAAAGUGGAUAAAAUACAUGCAUACAAAAGAUCUGCAACCAAAGAAUGUAAAAAAGGAAAUGCCAUGGAUCUUUUAAGAAAAGAUAUCAAGGAUUCAGAUUCUUGUGCUAUGAAUGGUAAAGAUCAAGAUGAAUCUGCUGUAACUACAGAGAAUUUUGAAAAGGCAAAUGAAAGAAUGGUUACGGAGGAGAAUACUGAUGUCAGUUUGAGAAAUCAAGAUAUUGAUGAAGUUCCAAAAAUUUAUGAAACAGAUGUCUCUAAUGAAACCAAAGACGAUAAAGAAGUGGAUUUAGAAAUGGGAAUGAGAAGCUCUGCAGAAAACAAAAUUCAGGAAGCCACCUUGGCUGAAUCUGCUUGUGUUGAUGGAGAGAAGGUAUCUUAUGAGUUUUUAGUUAAGUGGGUUGGAAAGUCUCAUAUUCAUAAUAGUUGGAUUUCUGAAUCCGAGCUCAAAGUUCUGGCAAAGAGGAAACUUGACAAUUAUGUCAGUUAGGCAAGUAAUGUUCCAAGACAAUUUCAUCUUCUAAAAACCUUUUCAAUUGAUCAUUGAACUGUAAACUCUUGGGAUUAAUUUUUCUUUGGCACCAACUUGUGUUUAUUUUUAGUUUUUCUUUCUAAAACAAGUCUAUUGGCAAUUACAGAUACGGUCAUAGCUCAUUGUAACACUGUCCUUUUUUAUGUGGCUUGAAAACUUUGUUUGCUUA